AGCGAAGCGGCACGUCAGCCGCCAGCCAUCGCCUUUGCUUCCCAAGCUGAUAGCGCGGGUUCGAUUCCCGUCAUCC
rnacentral:tRNA from 1 species